AUUGAACGCUGGCGGCAUGCCUUACACAUGCAAGUCGAACGGCAGCGGGGACUUCGGUCCGCCGGCGAGUGGCGAACGGGUGAGUAAUGUAUCGGAACGUGCCCAGUCGUGGGGGAUAACGUAGCGAAAGUUACGCUAAUACCGCAUACGAUCUAAGGAUGAAAGCGGGGGAUCGCAAGACCUCGCGCGAUUGGAGCGGCCGAUGUCAGAUUAGGUAGUUGGUGGGGUAAAGGCCCACCAAGCCGACGAUCUGUAGCUGGUCUGAGAGGACGACCAGCCACACUGGGACUGAGACACGGCCCAGACUCCUACGGGAGGCAGCAGUGGGGAAUUUUGGACAAUGGGCGCAAGCCUGAUCCAGCCAUUCCGCGUGCAGGAUGAAGGCCUUCGGGUUGUAAACUGCUUUUGUACGGAGCGAAAAGGCUCUCUCUAAUACAGGGGGCUCAUGACGGUACCGUAAGAAUAAGCACCGGCUAACUACGUGCCAGCAGCCGCGGUAA
rnacentral:rRNA from 1 species